GAGUUUGAUCCUGGCUCAGGAUGAACGCUGGUGGCGUGCCUAAUACAUGCAAGUCGAACGCUUUGUGGUUCAACUGAUUUGAAGAGCUUGCUCAGAUAUGACGAUGGACAUUGCAAAGAGUGGCGAACGGGUGAGUAACACGUGGGAAACCUACCUCUUAGCAGGGGAUAACAUUUGGAAACAGAUGCUAAUACCGUAUAACAAUGACAACCGCAUGGUUGUUAUUUAAAAGAUGGUUCUGCUAUCACUAAGAGAUGGUCCCGCGGUGCAUUAGCUAGUUGGUAAGGUAAUGGCUUACCAAGGCGAUGAUGCAUAGCCGAGUUGAGAGACUGAUCGGCCACAAUGGGACUGAGACACGGCCCAUACUCCUACGGGAGGCAGCAGUAGGGAAUCUUCCACAAUGGGCGAAAGCCUGAUGGAGCAACGCCGCGUGUGUGAUGAAGGGUUUCGGCUCGUAAAACACUGUUGUAAGAGAAGAAUGACAUUGAGAGUAACUGUUCAAUGUGUGACGGUAUCUUACCAGAAAGGAACGGCUAAAUACGUGCCAGCAGCCGCGGUAAUACGUAUGUUCCAAGCGUUAUCCGGAUUUAUUGGGCGUAAAGCGAGCGCAGACGGUUAUUUAAGUCUGAAGUGAAAGCCCUCAGCUCAACUGAGGAAUUGCUUUGGAAACUGGAUGACUUGAGUGCAGUAGAGGAAAGUGGAACUCCAUGUGUAGCGGUGAAAUGCGUAGAUAUAUGGAAGAACACCAGUGGCGAAGGCGGCUUUCUGGACUGUAACUGACGUUGAGGCUCGAAAGUGUGGGUAGCAAACAGGAUUAGAUACCCUGGUAGUCCACACCGUAAACGAUGAGUGCUAGGUGUUUGAGGGUUUCCGCCCUUAAGUGCCGCAGCUAACGCAUUAAGCACUCCGCCUGGGGAGUACGACCGCAAGGUUGAAACUCAAAGGAAUUGACGGGGACCCGCACAAGCGGUGGAGCAUGUGGUUUAAUUCGAAGCAACGCGAAGAACCUUACCAGGUCUUGACAUCCCUUGACAACUCCAGAGAUGGAGUGUUCCCUUCGGGGACAAGGUGACAGGUGGUGCAUGGUUGUCGUCAGCUCGUGUCGUGAGAUGUUGGGUUAAGUCCCGCAACGAGCGCAACCCUUAUUACUAGUUGCCAGCAUUCAGUUGGGCACUCUAGUGAGACUGCCGGUGACAAACCGGAGGAAGGUGGGGAUGACGUCAAAUCAUCAUGCCCCUUAUGACCUGGGCUACACACGUGCUACAAUGGCGUAUACAACGAGUUGCCAACCCGCGAGGGUGAGCUAAUCUCUUAAAGUACGUCUCAGUUCGGAUUGUAGGCUGCAACUCGCCUACAUGAAGUCGGAAUCGCUAGUAAUCGCGGAUCAGCACGCCGCGGUGAAUACGUUCCCGGGUCUUGUACACACCGCCCGUCACACCAUGAGAGUUUGUAACACCCAAAGCCGGUGGGGUAACCUUCGGGAGCCAGCCGUCUAAGGUGGGACAGAUGAUUAGGGUGAAGUCGUAACAAGGUAACC
rnacentral:rRNA from 1 species